GCCUUUGUGGAUUACGGAAGUUGCCUCUUUUCUGUGAAAUGUCGGAGGAUUUAUAGUUUAUUGAGGAAAUGAGGGUUCGACUCCCUCCAGAGGCG